rnacentral:lncRNA from 1 species
CGGGCCACCCUGCUCGGCGCUGACCAGUCCUUACCAGGCCAUGAGCAAGGAGGGGCACCCCACAGGGAAGAGGGGGCCUCUUGCCCGGCGGCUGGGCUGACCUCCAACCUCUGACCCCUGACGGGCUGGAGCACCCCACAUGAACAAGGCACCUGUGCAGCAGAGACCUGAAAAAGAAGCAAAAGAAACCCUCGGGGAGAAGCAGUGCCCCUCCCGUGCGGCUC